rnacentral:rRNA from 1 species
AUUGAACGCUGGCGGCAGGCCUAAUACAUGCAAGUCGAGCGGACGAAGGGAGCUUGCUCCUGGCUUCCGCGGCGGACGGGCGAGUAAUGCCCACGAAUCUGCCUGGCCGAGGGGGAUAACGUCAGUAAACGGGCGCUAAUAUCGCACACGUCCAGAGGGUGAAAGUGGGGGUUCUUCGGACCUCACGCUAUCAGAUGUGCCUAGGCCGGAUUAGCUAGUUGGUUAGGUAAAGGCUUACCAAGGCGACGAUCCGUAACUGAUCUGAGAGGCUGAUCAGCCACACUGGAACUGAGACACGGUCCAGACUCCUACGGGAGGCAGCAGUAGGGAAUAUUGGGCAAUGGGCGAAAGCCUGAUGGAGCAAUGCCGCGUGUGUGAAGAAGGUCUUCGGAUUGUAAAGCACUGUUAGUUGGGAAGAACAAAAGUGUAAUUAAACAUGGCUGUUUUGACGUUACCUACAGAGAAAGCCCCGGCUAACUACGUG